GUUCUAUAAUUAAUAGCGUAUGCAAAACUUCUACAUUUCAGUCAAGCAACACAAAUACUUGGCGAUUUUAGUGUUUUUCUUCGUUUAUUUACAAGAAAAAGUAUUGCUUCAGGUGGUUAUUUAAUACUUGUUUACAAAACAAACAUAAAACCAAUUAAAAAGUGUUAAAUUAAACCGGCAAGACUUGUUUCACUUCAUCCCGGUAAGCGGGCUGGCGUGUUCAUAUGGAAAAAUUUUCAUCCCGCCUACCUAUGAUCUCGGCAAAUUCAAACGAGAUCUCGGCAAGCGGGCCAGGUCGCUUUCUCAUAUGAACACAAUGCAAAAUUUUAUAGGAAAAUAGAUAGGCGGCGAGAUCAUCGGUAAGCGAGACGUCCCGGUAAGCGGGAUCAUAUGAACAGGCCCUAAAUUUAGUUUGCACGAAAGUUGUAAACAACACCAUAUAAGGAUAGACAUUCCAUAUUUGGAAAAACGAACGUUACGGGGCAGAUAUUCAAAUUCAUUGGUCAUCGAUGCAGGCUCUCAAUUCAGCUUGAGAGCCUGUUCGCAGGCUAGG